CGGGUGUUCGUGCAAAAUAUCCUCCACCCCGUGCAAAAUAUCCCCAACUCCGACCCUAACCCGUGCCUGCCGCCGCCGCCGCCCUCGUGCUCGAUCCACAGUCCUGCCGCGGCCUCGCGUCCACCCCCGUCGUCAAGCCGUCGUCUCGGAGCUCGCACUCCCUCGCCCCCGAGCUCCACCCCGACAUCCACCCGUCCUUGUACUCCCCCCCGAGCUCCAUUCCGAGAUCGAGCCGCCGUCCUCUCCAGAUCUAACUGCCGUCCUUGCCCCCUCCCCUGACACCCUGCCGUCUUCCUCCCCAAUCCCCGUCCCUGCUACUACAGGCCAUCUCCGGGCUCCCUUUGCUGCCGCACCUGCUGUUGCCGGGGCUCCAUCUCCGGGCUCCCGUUGCAGCCGGAUCUGCUGCUGCUAGGUCUCCAUCUCAAAUCGAGGACAUUCACCCCAUUCCAUUCCCCACUUCCCUGCCGCCGCCCUCGCGCUCCAUGCCCCCAUCCCUGCCGUCGCUCCACCACCUACGUCCCAGCCGCCCUGCCGUCGGCGUCCUCGCGCUCCAGCGUCACCCUCGUCCUUGCCGCCACCGUUCUCCCCCCCCCCCCCCCCCCCCCAAAUGGUGGGAUCCCCAAUUUGGUUUCUUUGCUGUUGUUCUUUCAGCCGUGAGUACCACCAUGUGUCAGUAGAUCGACUUGCUAGUUUGCUGCAACUUGAGAGUUGUACCGUUGGUAGCUGCGGGAGUGGUUUGGACAUGUUGAUCUGAAGCAAGACCUGGUUCCUGCUCACUUAAUCUGCCCCUUUUUGUUUGAUAAUAUGGCGUAGUAUUACGAAGAUUACUAGUUGGAUCCGUAUACCACUGAGCAGUAAAAAGAUCAUACCUUGCUUUGUUCUAUUUUUUAAUUCGUUGCUCAGAUCGAUGGUUAGAUGGACAUGGUGCUUUAGCUCCUUAAUUCUAAGAUUCCAAGUUUCUGAAUUCUAGGUCUGCACCGGCAUCAUGAGUUAAUCAGAUGCGUGUCACCAGCUAUAGUGAUGAUAUGGCCAUCAUUUUCCUGUAGAGAGAGCAGCUGAUAUUCAUAGUUUAAUUACUUUUUCCUCCAACUAAUGUGUUGUCUUAUUUUCUCACUUUGGCUGGUACAGUGAUACCCAUCUAAUUGUAGUCGAGGGGAUAUGUGAUAACUUGAAACUGAGCACAGAACGUUCUUUCUUGGUUUGCAUUUGGUGUAACCCCCCUUGAUUGUUCUUUUUCCUUUGUCUUAUAAUCCUCUGAUUUUCAAUCCAGUCAUAUUUUGAUGAUGGAUUGACCAUUAUUUAUCAGAAGUUUUCUACACAUUGCUGCUGGAUAGAGCAUCUAUUGCUACUACAAUUGGUGAUAUCUACACAGAUCUAUACAUAAAAGAUAAUAGGAAGUAAGCUUCUAUAGUGUGGCGUAGAGGUAUUGGCCAUACACCAUGAAUGAUAGAGGCUGUGCAGCUGAUAUUCAUAGUUUAAUUACUUUUUCCUCCAAAGAGAUACAUAUUUUUAGCUGUAAUGUGUUACCUUGCUGACAGUACAUCGAUAUAUUCUCCAAUUUGGUUCAACUAUGCCUAUACUCUUUAGUUUUAUGUUGAUGUUUACUCUUUCUUCUGGUCUGGAGUCUUGUAUUUUUUUCUGAGGUGUGUACUUCACUUUUAUGUUGUAUACACAAGUAUUUUCAGAUAAAUAAAAGCAAGAACAUUAGAGAGCAUGCAGGGCCCUGAAUUUGGAGAAUCUAGGCCUAUAUCUGUACAAUAUUGUUGAGAAAAUGCGGCAGUAAGGACGAGCCAACAAAGAGGAUCUCUGCAAUGAAAGAAUACAAGGAUUUCAUCAAUUGUCUAUUAGAAGACCUAUUAAAAAGUAACGAUUAUUUUUGUAAAUCAAGGAUGAAAAGAAGGCAACUGAUGUGCAAGGACAUGCAGGUACUCAGCCACCUAGUGCGCAUGGAUGUGAUGACUUCGUAGUCUUAUGUAGCAUUUGGUCGUUUGUAGUAUUUCGGACUAGCCAACUUGUAAUCAUGAAUCUUAUGUGCGUUCUGGACCAUUUGGCGCUUCAAGUGUUGUGGAGUAGAAAUCUUGUGGCCAUGGAUUUGACUUUUAAGUUUUUUGGACCAUUUCGUGUUUCAAUUCUUUUAGAAUAACACAUAGUGGUCCUUUUAUGUGACUUGUGUUUCUUGAUGGUGGUCAAGAUGGCCAAACUUUGCUUUGUCAAUGUUGUCUUGUUUUUUAACUUGUGAUCAAUAUAUAUGUAUGUUUGUGAACAUA